GGAAUGGUUCAGUGGUAGAAUUCUCACCUUCUAUGUGGGAGACCCAGGUUCAAUUCCUGGCCA
rnacentral:tRNA from 1 species